rnacentral:rRNA from 1 species
UGGGGAAUAUUGCACAAUGGGGGAAACCCUGAUGCAGCGACGCCGCGUGAACGAAGAAGGUAUUCGUAUCGUAAAGUUCUGUCCUAUGGGAAGAUAAUGACAGUACCAUAGAAGAAAGCUCCGGCUAAAUACGUGCCAGCAGCCGCGGUAAUACGUAUGGAGCGAGCGUUGUCCGGAAUUAUUGGGCGUAAAGGGUACGCAGGAGGUUUAAUAAGUCGAAUGUUAAAGAUCGGGGCUCAACCCCGCAAAGCAUUGGAAACUGAUAAACUUGAGUAGUGGAGAGGAAAGUGGAAUUCCUAGUGUAGUGGUGAAAUACGUAGAUAUUAGGAGGAAUACCAGUAGCGAAGGCGACUUUCUGGACACAAACUGACGCUGAGGUACGAAAGCGUGGGGAGCAAACAGG